GAUGAACGCUGGCGGCGUGCCUAAUACAUGCAAGUCGAGCGAACGGACGAGAAGCUUGCUUCUCUGAUGUUAGCGGCGGACGGGUGAGUAACACGUGGAUAACCUACCUAUAAGACUGGGAUAACUUCGGGAAACCGGAGCUAAUACCGGAUAAUAUUUUGAACCGCAUGGUUCAAAAGUGAAAGACGGUCUUGCUGUCACUUAUAGAUGGAUCCGCGCUGCAUUAGCUAGUUGGUAAGGUAACGGCUUACCAAGGCAACGAUGCAUAGCCGACCUGAGAGGGUGAUCGGCCACCCUGGAACUGAGACACGGUCCAGACUCCUACGGGAGGCAGCAGUAGGGAAUCUUCCGCAAUGGGCGAAAGCCUGACGGAGCAACGCCGCGUUAGUGAUGAAGGUCUUCGGAACGUAAAACUCUGUUAUUAGGGAAGAACAGAUGUGUAAGUAACUGUGCACGGCUUUACGGUACCUAAUCAGAAAGCCACGGCUAACUACGUG
rnacentral:rRNA from 1 species